CCUACGGGUGGCAGCAGUGGGGAAUAUUGGACAAUGGGCGAAAGCCUGAUCCAGCCAUGCCGCGUGUGUGAAGAAGGCCUUCGGGUUGUAAAGCACUUUCAGUGGGGAAGAAAGCCUUGGGGCUAAUACCCUCGAGGAAGGACAUCACCCACAGAAGAAGCACCGGCUAACUCCGUGCCAGCAGCCGCGGUAAUACGGAGGGUGCGAGCGUUAAUCGGAAUUACUGGGCGUAAAGCGCGCGUAGGCGGUCUGAUAAGCCGGGUGUGAAAGCCCCGGGCUCAACCUGGGAACGGCAUCCGGAAAUGGAAGGCUAGAGUGUCGGAGAGGAAGGUAGAAUUCCACGUGGAGGGGUGAAAUGCGUAGAGAUAGGGAGGAAUACCGGUGGCGAAGGCCGCCCUCCGGAACAACACUGACGCUGAGGGGCGAAAGCGUGGGGAGCAAACAGGAUUAGAUACCCUGGUAGUC
rnacentral:rRNA from 1 species